rnacentral:lncRNA from 1 species
UGAAUGAAAGAAAAGUUUUAAAUUUUAUGUAUGUUGUUGAUCAUGUAUGGGAUUAAACAGGUUUACAGGUUACAUGUCAGGCUUACUACGGGUCCCGGCGGCCUUAAGUCGACCUGGAUCCUAGCGCCGGUAGCGGUCCGAUUUUCGGGUCGUUACAGAAUGGUAUCAGAGCCCUAGGUUCAUAUGGUCGGACCUAGAGUGUCG